rnacentral:snoRNA from 1 species
UUGAUGGGCGGGGGCACGAACACCUCUCCGUGCGGCGCCGCCCUCGCGAAGAGGGGAUAGAUCGACGCGUCAAGAAAUCGUUUCAGUUGCCAUGGCUCCAGUAGGCAAUAUGAUUGUUGCUUGACCACAG